GCGCGAAACCUUUACACUGCACGAAAGUGCGAUAAGGCUAUACCGAGUGCCAGCCUAGGGAAUAAGGGGAGGGCAAGCCUGGUGUCAGCCGCCGCGGUAAUACCAGCUCCCCGAGUGGUCAGGACGAUUAUUGGGCCUAAAGCAUCCGUAGCCGGCUUCGUAGGUCUUUUGUUAAAUCCAACGGCCCAACCGUUGGAAUGCAGGGGAUACCGCGGAGCUAGGGGGCGGGAGAGGCGGACGGUACUCCAUAGGUAGGGGUAAAAUCCUUUGAUCUGUGGAAGACCACCAGUGGCGAAGGCGGUCCGCUAGAACGCGCCCGACGGUGAGGGAUGAAAGCUGGGGGAGCGAACCGGAUUAGAUACCCGGGUAGUCCCAGCUGUAAACGAUGCAGGCUAGGUGAUAGGGAGGCUACGCGCCUCCCUAGUGCCGCAGGGAAGCCGAUAAGCCUGCCGCCUGGGGAGUACGACCGCAAGGUUGAAACUUAAAGGAAUUGGCGGGGGAGCACACAAGGGGUGAAGCCUGCGGUUCAAUUGGAGUCAACGCCGGGAACCUUACCAAGGGUGACAGAGCAUGAAGGUCAAGCUAAAGACGUUACCAGACAAGCUGAGAAGUAGUGCAUGGCC
rnacentral:rRNA from 1 species